CAGUAGCCGCGGUAAUACGUAGGGUGCGAGCGUUAAUUGGAAUUACUGGGCGUAAAGCGUGCGCAGGCGGUUUUGUGAGACAGGCGUGAAAUCCCCGGGCUCAACCUGGGAAUGGCGCUUGUGACUGCAAAGCUAGAGUGCGGCAGAGGGGGAUGGAAUUCCGCGUGUAGCAGUGAAAUGCGUAGAUAUGCGGAGGAACACCGAUGGCGAAGGCAAUCCCCUGGGCCUGCACUGACGCUAAUGCACGAAAGCGUGGGGAGCAAACAGGAUUAGAUACCCCCGUAGUCCCUGUCUCUUAUAC
rnacentral:rRNA from 1 species